AGUGAACGCUGGCGGUAGGCCUAACACAUGCAAGUCGAACGGCAGCACAGUAAGAGCUUGCUCUUACGGGUGGCGAGUGGCGGACGGGUGAGGAAUACAUCGGAAUCUACUUUUUCGUGGGGGAUAACGUAGGGAAACUUACGCUAAUACCGCAUACGACCUACGGGUGAAAGCAGGGGAUCUUCGGACCUUGCGCGAUUGAAUGAGCCGAUGUCGGAUUAGCUAGUUGGCGGGGUAAAGGCCCACCAAGGCGACGAUCCGUAGCUGGUCUGAGAGGAUGAUCAGCCACACUGGAACUGAGACACGGUCCAGACUCCUACGGGAGGCAGCAGUGGGGAAUAUUGGACAAUGGGCGCAAGCCUGAUCCAGCCAUGCCGCGUGGGUGAAGAAGGCCUUCGGGUUGUAAAGCCCUUUUGUUGGGAAAGAAAAGCAGCAGGUUAAUACCCCGCUGUUCCGACGGUACCCAAAGAAUAAGCACCGGCUAACUUCGUG
rnacentral:rRNA from 1 species